GAUUCAAAAGAAGAUAUCCAUUAAAAAUAAUAAGUUCAUACAACCCCAAGAAUAUAAAAUAAAAUAUAAAACCCGUGUCCCUUUGUUAGGGCUGCAUCCAGCCCUGGAGAAGAGCUCAGGCUUCCAUGCAGUGGUGGACGGCGGCAGCAGCAAAGCAGCAGCGGAUCCUUCCUUCUUUAUUUCUUCCUUUGGGAAAUAUUCCCAAAAUACCCAAAAGGUUUCUCUCUCCUGGCUCUAUGGGAUUCGGCCUGUGAACCCAAGCUUCUUCUUCUCCUGGUGAACUAUGUGGGAUUCCGCCUCUGAGAAGUGAUGAUGGGAGCAGCCCCCGGUGGGGGAAGAGGGAAUGCCCCCCAGUGGGGAAGAAGGAAUAAUCUUCUCGGUUCACGCUGGGCCUUUUAUAGGCUGCAACUCCCCCUCGCUCCUCCCCUGUUCCGAGUGCAGGAUUAGGAUGAAAGAUGCGGUGGGUAUAUUGUGGAUAAGGAUGUGGGAGCUGAUCUUGGAUGAGGAUGUUGAUGAGGAACGCGUGGGGUGCAUCGCGGAAGCAUGGGAAUUCAGCGAGGAAGAAAUCUUUGGACGCGGAAGAAGAUGUGGUCCUGACGUUAGGGAAAAUCUCACGGAAUGGUUGGGAGCAAGCUGCAACUAUGGGAAUAUGCGGAGAAGAUCUCGGCUGGAUGGCUGAUUCUCUGUUCCGAAACAGAGGAUAAAGCUACAAACUAGGAAGAAAUCCGGAAGAGUUGGGGUGCUGCGAAGAAGUUGGGGAUCCGGUUGGGAGAUGGGUUGUGUGAGGUUGCUUGGAUAAAGAUGGAUCUUUGUUUGCUUGGCAAGCAUCAUGGGAGGAGUUGUUCCGGAAGCUUUGGAGAUGAAGACACUUGAAUCAGGGGAUGUUUGGAUGAAGCCCACGGCUGAGAAGAGAUGAGGCUUUGGGAUGCGGCUGUAGGCUUUUGAGAAGAUCUCGGAUGGUUGUUCUUUGGAUGCGGAAGGAGUUGGAUUCCUGGGCUUUAUCCAUGGACGAUGGGACUCCGUUCCAAACGGGAUGAGAUCUGGGCGUUUCGGAAGGCUUAUCCCGCCUGAGAAAAGAACUUGAGGAUUCGGUUGGGAGGAUAAGUUGGGAGGAAUCAUGGAAGCAGGGGAGAUGAACUCUGUUUUGNNNNNNNNNNNNNNNNNNNNUUGGGCGUUUCGGAAGGCUUAUCCCGCCUGAGAAAAGAACUUGAGGAUUCGGUUGGGAGGAUAAGUUGGGAGUAAUCAUGGAAGCAGGGGAGAUGAACUCUGUUUUGAGGCUGGGAUGCAGGGGCUGAUCCGGAAUGAACACCUGGGCCUUAUCCUGUGGAUGACGGGAGUUCAUUGCGGACGGGAUGAAGGCUGGGUUCGAUCUGGAGUAGGCAAUCUAGGAGAAUCAAAGCCGGAAGAAAAGGAUGGCCAAUCCGAACGCGAACAGGAAGAAGUUGGGACUCGUGGACACCUUGCAGACCGCUGGAAUUGGAGCUAAUCCGGGCUGAAGAAGAUCUCAACGGGAUGAGUUGGAAAAGAUAUGGAUUGGCUCACGGAAAGAAGGAAAUGGCUGGGAGAUCAUCCUUGAAUCGCGGACGGGAGAGAAGACACGCGGAUGGAAUGCCUGGCUUGGAUGCGGAACAGGGGAGGUGAUUCGGAAUGCUGGGAGAUCGUGAUCUAAUCCGGAACGUGGAGGAGAAGCUGGNN
rnacentral:lncRNA from 1 species